rnacentral:rRNA from 1 species
GAUAAACGCUAGCGGCAGGCUUAACACAUGCAAGUCGAGGGGCAGCACAUAAAGUGGUUUACUACUUUUGGUGGCGACCGGCGGACGGGUGCGUAACGCGUAUGCAACCUGCCUCCAACAGGGGGAUAACGGAGAGAAAUUUCCACUAAUACCCCAUAAUAUCAGAAUCGGCAUCGGUUUUGGUUGAAAACUCCGGUGGUUGGAGAUGGGCAUGCGUUGUAUUAGAUAGUUGGUGAGGUAACGGCUCACCAAGUCAACGAUACAUGGGGGGACUGGGAGGUUAGCCCCCCACACUGGUACUGAGACACGGACCAGACUCCUACGGGAGGCAGCAGUGAGGAAUAUUGGUCAAUGGGGGCAACCCUGAACCAGCCAUGCCGCGUGCAGGAAGACGGCUCUAUGAGUUGUAAACUGCUUUUACAAGGGGAUAAAUCGGUGUACGUGUACACCGUUGAAGGUACCUUGGGAAUAAGGAUCGGCUAACUCCGUGCCAGCCGCCGCGGUAA